rnacentral:miRNA from 1 species
AUGUGUCCUUUCCCAUGGGGUGCAAGCGCGUGCGUGCAUGUGUAUACACACACACACACACACACACACACACACACACACACACACAC